rnacentral:rRNA from 1 species
CACCACCGGCGGACGGCUCAGUAACACGUCGGUAACCUACCCUCGGGAGGGGGAUAACCCCGGGAAACUGGGGCUAAUUCCCCAUAGGCCUGAGGUACUGGAAGGUCCUCAGGCCGAAAGGGACUUAUGUCCGCCCGAGGAUGGGCCGGCGGCCGAUUAGGUAGUUGGUGGGGUAAUGGCCCACCAAGCCGAAGAUCGGUACGGGCUGUGAGAGCAGGAGCCCGGAGAUGGACACUGAGACACGGGCCCAGGCCCUACGGGGCGCAGCAGGCGCGAAACCUCCGCAAUGCGGGAAACCGCGACGGGGGGACCCCGAGUGCCGUGGCAACGCCACGGCUUUUCCGGAGUGUAAAAAGCUCCGGGAAUAAGGGCUGGGCAAGGCCGGUGGCAGCCGCCGCGGUAGUACCGGCGGCCCGAGUGGUGGCCGCUAUUAUUGGGCCUAAAGCGUCCGUAGCCGGGCCCGUAAGUCCCUGGCGAAAUCCCACGGCUCAACCGUGGGGCUUGCUGGGGAUACUGCGGGUCUUGGGACCGGGAGAGGCGGGGGGUACCCCUGGGGUAGGGGUGAAAUCCUAUAAUCCCAGGGGGACCGCCAGUGGCGAA